UACGAACUGUGCAAACGUUAUUCGGAAUCACUGGGCUUAAAGGGUGCGUAGGCGGCUCGUUAGGUAGGGUGUGAAAGCCCCCGGCUCAACCGGGGAAUUGCGCCCUAAACCGGCGGGCUGGAGUGAGAUAGGGGUGUGUGGAACUUCCGGUGGAGCGGUGAAAUGUGUUGAUAUCGGAAGGAACGCCGGUGGCGAAAGCGACACACUGGGUCUCAACUGACGCUGAGGCACGAAAGCCAGGGGAGCAAACGGG
rnacentral:rRNA from 2 species